rnacentral:lncRNA from 1 species
AAAAAUUUUAAAAUGUAGCAGUCAUACCGGAGGAAUUCUACACUGUCGCACUUGCACCACGUCAUCAAUAACAAGCCAAUCACAUUCUUUCUUUUCAAACAAAAGUACAAUAAAAAUAUUUUUUUACAAUCAUGAGGGGACAUAUAUUCUUAAAAGGAUUAAUUUGAUUGGUUUGUUACGCCACGUCACUAAUAUACCCGUUGCAUUCUAAAAUUUUUCGUCAUACGGACUGUUUAUUAUUAUUAUUAUUAUUAUUAUUAUUAUUAUUUUUGAGAGAUAGGUACCACGCUAUUUAUUUCGUUUAUUUUAUUUAGAAAUAAAUUUAGUUCGAAAUAUGAAUCAACUAGGAUUCGAACUUGACUAUGAACGGAGGAUUUAUUAUUUUUUGAGAGAAAGAUACUAUGCUAUCCGCUUCGUUUAUUUCACAUAGAAAUAAAUUUAGCUGGAAAUGCGAAUCAACUAGAAUUCAAACUUGGGUCUCAGAUACCAACCACCAAAUUAUUUUGUCACUUGCGUUAGGGACGGAUGGUUUAUUAUUGCUCAUGAAUUGAAGUACAUUCUCAUAACUCAUUCAUUCAUUUUUAAGAUAUAUUUUUCAAAAUAAAUAUGAUUGACUAAAGAUGUAAUAUAGCUGCUUCAUAGUAGACUUUCAUGCGGAGAGGUGGACACGUGGUGGAAAUGGAUCCACAAUUGUGCAAUGAGGACAAAGAGCGAUCACGGCAGCUAAUACUUGCUGUUGAACCGUGCUCGACUUUUUGUGAGCUCAGUUUGGAAUUGUAUGCAGAUGAAGGAAAAAAACAAAAAGAUAUUUUGUAUAUUUUCGUGUGUAAUAUUACAUUGCAUGUAUAAUAAUAAAUUGAUUAAGAUAUAUUUCUCAUAAUCUUAAUAAAAUAUAAACAAAUAGGAGUUGAGCUAGAAUACUCUCAAAAGCACCAAAGGGGUGGUGCUUUUGAGUUUUUAACCAUUGGAUUGAGAGAUAUAGGAUUGAGAUUAUGAUGGUAGAUGGUGGUAGGUGGUGAUAGGUGAAAUAGUAUUUGAUUCAAGGGGUAUUAGUAAUUAAGAAGUAAAUCUAAGGACUAGAAACUUAAAAAUACCAAGGUAUUGGUACUUCUAAAAGUAUUCUAGCUCAAUUCAACAAAUAGUAUCUUUAU